rnacentral:misc_RNA from 1 species
GGGAUCGAAGCAUCGUUCGUGUUGGUCACAUUGAAAAUUUGUAUUCUGUACUGUAUGUUUUGUUUUAAAUUUUUUUUGUUGUUGAGGUGGAAAAUCUUGAAAUGGAAGAGUUAGUUAAGCCCAUAAUUGAACUCAACAGUGAUAAUUUAAUAAAAGCAAUUAACCGGGAUACAGUACAUCGAAUAUGUUCUGGACAGGUAGUACUGAGUUUGGCUAUUGCAAUGAAAGAAUUGGUAGAGAACUCCAUAGAUGCAGGAGCUACUAUAGUAAAUAUUCAUCUAGUAGAAUAUGGAUCAGAACUUCUGGAAGUAUCUGAUAAUGGAUCUGGUGUCAUGAGUGAAAACUUCAAAGCAUUAACUUUGAAACACUAUACAUCUAAAAUCAGCAAAUUCAGUGAUUUGCAAAAUUUAGGAACCUUAGGUUUUAGAGGAGAGGCCUUAAGUUCUCUUUGUGCUUUAUCUGAUUUGAUGAUUAGUACAAGACACGAACUUGCAAUUCACGCCACUAAAAUCACGUACAAUCGUAAUGGUGAAAUAUUGAGUCAAAUCACAACUGCAAGAGAGCAGGGUACAACGGUAACAUUGAAAAACUUGUUUUCUUCGUUACCUGUGAGGCGAAAAGAGUUCAUGAAAAAUUUGAAGAGGGAAUUCAGCAAAAUGUGUCAACUUCUUUAUGCAUAUUGCUUAGUUUCGAAAGGAAUCAAGUUUACUUGUACCAAUGUUACCAGUAAGGGUGUCAAAACUACUGUUGUUGCCACAGAUGGUAAACAAAGUGUAAGAGAAAAUGUUAUCAAUAUUUUUGGAUCGAAACAAAUUUCUUCAUUGAUUGACGUUGAGGUUGCUAUGCCAGAUGACCACAUUUCAAGCGAAUUUGGGGUAAAGUUAGCUGCAGAGGAGCAACUUCCAUUCACCUUUGAGUUUCUAAUAUCUAGUGUAACUCAUGGAAGUGGCCGAAGUGCCACAGAUAGACAGUUUUACUACAUAAAUUCGCGUCCUGUGGAACCUACAAAAAUAAUGAAACUUGUCAAUGAAACAUACAAGCAGUUCAAUUGUCACCAGUAUCCCUUUGUAUAUUUGAAUAUUGUUUCAACAUCUCUAUUAGUCGAUGUCAAUGUGACACCAGAUAAAAGGCAGGUAUUUGUUGAAAAUGAAAAAAUACUAUUAGCAACCAUCAAGCAAUCACUACUAGAAGCAUUCAAGACAUUUCCUUCGACUUAUAAAAUGCAAAACUUGGAUAUUUCCAAAAUGAUUCCUUUCAGCAGUAAGCCAGAGAGAGGUAUUAAGAGAAGUUUGACAGAACAUACAAUAAAAAAUGGUAGUAUAAGGGAAAUGUUCAAGAAGCGAUCGAAGACAGAUCCCAGCCCUAGAAAAUCUCUCAAUUCAUUUUCAUUUUUCUCAAAUAAAAUUUCAGAUAAAAUUGACGAUACUUUAGUAGAGAGAGAUUACCAAGAAAAAGAAACUAUCCAAAAUAACUCAGAUGGUGUAGAAUCCGAAGCUGAAAAAGAUCUGGACAUGUUAAUAGAAUUAGCUUGUCAAUUAUCAGGUAAAAAAGAUCGAGAACAACUUAUUGAUACAACAGAGAAUAAGGAAUCAGAAACCAACAAUUUGGAAAUAAGUCUUGAUCAGCCCGUUGACAAUAAUGUAACGAAAAAAUCUGUAGUUUUUAAUAUCACCCUUGAUCAAAUAAAAAAAGUUUUGGAAACCAAGGACGAUCCAAAAAAAGAUAAAAGCAUCACGGUAAAAUUCAGAUCAGAAAUCAGCCCGGAUAAUAACAAAUCAGCAGAAGAAGAACUUCAAAAACAGAUUCAGAAAACGGAUUUUAGUAAAAUGGAAAUUGUCGGGCAGUUUAAUCUAGGUUUCAUUAUAACAAAACUGAGCAAUGAUUUAUUUAUAAUCGACCAACAUGCUACUGAUGAAAAAUACAACUUCGAGCAGCUCCAACUGAAUACUGUCAUUGACAGCCAGGUUUUGCCCCAAAGCUCUGGAACUAACUACAGGCAGUGAAAACCUUUUGAUAGAAAAUUUGGACAUUUUCAAGAAAAAUGGGUUCUCAUUCAUAAUAGAUGAAUCGGCUCCCUGUACAAAGAAAGUUCACUUAACAGCAAUACCUGUAAGCAGAAAUUUCGUUUUUGGAAAGGACGAUAUUGAUGAAAUGCUAUUCAU